AACACAUGCAAGUCGAACGAACNUUCGGGUUAGUGGCGGACGGGUGAGUAACGCGUGAGAAUCUGCCCUCAGGAGGGGGAUAACGGUUGGAAACGACCGCUAAUACCCCAUAUGCCUACUGGUGAAAUGAAUUUCGCCUGAGGAUGAGCUCGCGUCUGAUUAGCUAGUUGGUGAGGUAAUAGCUCACCAAGGCUUCGAUCAGUAGCUGGUCUGAGAGGAUGAUCAGCCACACUGGGACUGAGACACGGCCCAGACUCCUACGGGAGGCAGCAGUGGGGAAUUUUCCGCAAUGGGCGAAAGCCUGACGGAGCAACGCCGCGUGAGGGACGAAGGCCUCUGGGCUGUAAACCUCUUUUCUCAAGGAAGAAGAUAUGACGGUACUUGAGGAAUAAGCCACGGCUAAUUCCGUGCCAGCAGCCGCGGUAAUACGGGAGUGGCAAGCGUUAUCCGGAAUUAUUGGGCGUAAAGCGUCCGCAGGCGGCUUUUCAAGUCUGCUGUUAAAGCGUGGAGCUUAACUCCAUCAUGGCAGUGGAAACUGAAAGGCUUGAGUAUGGUAGGGGCAGAGGGAAUUCCCGGUGUAGCGGUGAAAUGCGUAGAUAUCGGGAAGAACACCAGUGGCGAAGGCGCUCUGCUGGGCCAUUACUGACGCUCAUGGACGAAAGCCAGGGGAGCGAAAGGGAUUAGAUACCCCUGUAGUCCUGGCCGUAAACGAUGAACACUAGGUGUCGGGGGAAUCGACCCCUUCNGUGUCGUANCUAACGCGUUAAGUGUUCCGCCUGGGGAGUACGCACGCAAGUGUGAAACUCAAAGGAAUUGACGGGGGCCCGCACAAGCGGUGGAGUAUGUGGUUUAAUUCGAUGCAACGCGAANAACCUUACCNGGNUUGACAUCCUGCGAACNUCUUANAAAUUUGAGGGUGCCUUCGGGAAUGCAGUGACAGNGGUGCAUGGCUGUCGUCAGCUCGUGUCGNGAGAUGUUGGGUUAAGUCCCGCAACGAGCGCAACCCACGUUUUUA
rnacentral:rRNA from 1 species